ensembl:lncRNA novel transcript
CACACCUCCCUGUAUCCGCACCACUUUGCAAUGAGAAAUUUGCUGUUUCUCCUAGUGAGAGAGGGAGUCUAUUUCUUUACCCUUGGGCCUGGGCUGGCCUGGUGACUUGUUUUGACCAAUACAUGGAAGAAGUGACAUUAUGUGAGUUCUGCAGCUGAAGCUUUAAGAGGCCUUGAAGUUUCUCCUCACCUUCUUGGAACCUUGAGACCACCAUGCUGUGAGAAGCCUGGGCAUAUCUACUGGAGGCCGAGGGGCCACAUGACACGUCUAAAACUCAUACGUCAAGAUAUGCUUGAAAGCUGCACCCAUCAAGUGCGUCCUGAAUCUGACGAUUCACUAUCUUCACUUCCGCCAGUCUGCUCCAGGCCUCCAUCCUUUCUGGCCUAAAUGAACCCCAAAGCUGGCUUGUGUCCUGCAUCCAUCCACCACUCUUGCCCUUGUUUCACUUAUCUAUUGCUGUGAAAUAAACUUCAAAACCAA